UGUCUUUUUGAAAAUAAUAUAAAGUCUAAUCUGCCCACUGAUUUAAAUUAAAGGGCUGCAGUAUAUUGACUGUACAAAGGUAGCAUAAUCAUUAGUCAUUUAAUUGAUGACUUGUAUGAAAGAUUGGAUGAAAUAUAAACUGUCUCUCAAUUAAAAAUAGAAUUUAAUUUUUUAAUUAAAAAGUUAAAAUAAUUUAAAAAGACGAGAAGACCCUAUAGAGUUUUAUAGAUAAAUUAAUUAAGGUUAUUUAUUAAAAUUAAAAUUAAUUUAUUUAUUCUAUUGGGGUGAUAGAAAAAUAUAUUUAACUUUUUUUUUAUAGAAACAUUUAUAAGUGAUUAAAUGAUCCAUUAUUAAUGAUUAUAAGAAAAAAUUACCUUAGGGAUAACAGCGUAAUUUUUUUUUUUA
rnacentral:rRNA from 1 species